AGUAAUGUCUGGGAAACUGCCUGAUGGAGGGGGAUAACUACUGGAAACGGUAGCUAAUACCGCAUAACGUCGCAAGACCAAAGUGGGGGACCUUCGGGCCUCAUGCCAUCAGAUGUGCCCAGAUGGGAUUAGCUAGUAGGUGGGGUAACGGCUCACCUAGGCGACGAUCCCUAGCUGGUCUGAGAGGAUGACCAGCCACACUGGAACUGAGACACGGCCCAG
rnacentral:rRNA from 1 species